rnacentral:tRNA from 1 species
GGUCGAGUGGCCGAGAGAAUAGGCGAAAGAUUGCAACUCUUUCUACGUUGGUUUAAGUCCAGCCUCGACCU